rnacentral:rRNA from 1 species
UACGGGGGGGGCAAGCGUUGUUCGGAAUUACUGGGCGUAAAGGGCUCGUAGGCGGCCAACUAAGUCGGAUGUGAAAUCCCCAGGCUUAACCUGGGAACUGCAUCCGAUACUGGAUGGCUUGAAUCCGGGAGAGGGAUGCGGAAUUCCAGGUGUAGCGGUGAAAUGCGUAGAUAUCUGGAGGAACACCGGUGGCGAAGGCGGCAUCCUGGACCGGCAUUGACGCUGAGGAGCGAAAGCCAGGGGAGCAGACGGG